rnacentral:piRNA from 1 species
UGUGUACACAGAGAAAGAUAUCCAGGCCA